AGCAGCCGCGGUAAUUCCAGCUCCAAUAGCGUAUAUUAAAGUUGUUGCAGUUAAAAAGCUCGUAGUUGAAUUUCGGGACCAAUAUGUUGGUCGUGCCUCGGUACGUACUGGUAUUAUUGGUUUCUCCCUUCUGAAGAACCAUGAUGUCAUUAAUUUGGUGUCGUGGGGAAUCAGGACUGUUACUUUGAAAAAAUUAGAGUGUUUAAAGCAGGCAUACGCUUGAAUACAUUAGCAUGGAAUAAUGAAAUAGGACGUUUGAUUCUAUUUUGUUGGUUUCUAGGAUCGACGUAAUGAUUAAUAGGGAUAGUUGGGGGCAUUAGUAUUCAAUUGUCAGAGGUGAAAUUCUUGGAUUUAUUGAAGACUAACUACUGCGAAAGCAUUUGCCAAGGAUGUUUUCAUUAAUCAAGAACGAAAGUUAGGGGAUCGAAGACGAUCAGAUACCGUCGUAGUCUUAACCAUAAACUAUGCCGACUAGGGAUCGGAUGAUGUUAAUUUUUUAAUGACUCAUUCGGCGCCUUACG
rnacentral:rRNA from 1 species